AUGCCCAAGGCGACCGGGAGCGGCCCCUCCCCAGAGAGCAAGGCAGCGCGGUCGCUGAAGCAGGUCUCCGGCUCCUGGGACCCUCCUCCGUCAGCCAGUGGUUACGAUCACCAGGAGGGAAAACGGCAUCUACAGAAAGUUGGAGUUUGCGAAGACAAAUGGCGAAGGUGUCAACUGUUUUUGAGAAUGCUUCGGCGUGCACAGAGCCUUUUAAUGAAGAACAUUACUUUGUUUUUUGGUUUGAUUGUAUUUGUGCUCAUGAUUGCUAGUCUUUUUAGUAUUUUACUCUAUCUUUUCCCAAGGAGAUUUUUAAGUAGCAGAAUAACUAUCACAAUUAUGAAUAUAAAGACUGGUGAAGAGUUAUCUUAUCCCCUGGCCUCAACUGGAGCCAGUCUGAGGAUGUGAGUUGUAUUGAUAGCAAUAGCUGAAGCUACUCGAACUAAUAACACCACUAGUUCAAGUUCCUGUUACAGUGUUGGCUUCCAUCACUUUCUACACUCUCCCUGAAAGAUAAGCUUGAAUUGCAGGGCCUCGGUUCUAUCAGAGAAAAUGACACAUUUGGCUGCAGUAGCUGCUUCAUAAAAACUAAGUCUGGAUCUCCUAGGCCAGUCUCAACCUCUUAAAAAGAAAGAGAACUUGAAACAAUGCGCUUUUGAAAUCAUAAGUUGGGCAUCGUUAGAAUGAAUAUUGAGAACCUAGAAAAAAUUCCACAAAUAGACCAUCUUUUUCUUUUCUUUUCUUUACUUUCUUCACCGCCCCCCCCACAAGAGUUGUUCUGUCUCCCAGGAGGCAGUGCAGUGGCGCAAUCUUGGUUCACUGCAAUCUCCGUCUCAGCCUCCCGAAUAGCUGAGACAACAGGCAUGUGCCACCAUGCCUGGCUAAUUUUUGUAUUUUUAGUAGAGACAGAAUUUCGACAUGUUGGCCAGGCUGAUCUCAAACUCGUGAUCUCAGGUGAUCCACCCGCCUCAGCCUCCCAAAGUGCUGGGAUUACAGGCAUGAGCCACCAUCUGGCCUGUUUCUUUAUCUCUUAUUGAAAAACAUAUUUUAGAUAAGGAGUGUCUGUGCUAGAAUAUGUUUAAGUGUGUGUAUUCGUUUCCUAGGCUUGCCAUAACAAAUUAACACAGAUUGGGUGGCUUAAAACAACAGAAAUUUAUUGUCUCACAGUUCUGAAGGCCAGAAAUUCAAAAUUCGGCCGGGCGCGGCGGCUCACGCCUAUAAUCCCAGCACUUUGGGAGGCCGAGGUGGGUGGAUCACGAGGUCAAGAGAUCGAGACCAUCCUGGUCAACAAGGUGAAACCCCGUCUCUACUAAAAAUACAAAAAUUAGCUGGGCAUGGUGGUGUGUGCCUGUAGUUCCAGGUACUCGGGAGCCUGAGGCAGAAUUGCUUGAACCCAGAGGGCGGCAGUUGCAGUGAGCCGAGAUCGUGCCAUUGCAUUCCAGUCUGGGUAACAACAGCAAAACUCCAUCUCAAAAAAAAAAAAAAAAAAGAAAUUCAAAAUCAAGGUGAAAACAAAGUUGGUUCUCUCUUGGCGUCUCUGAGAGAUAAUCUUUCCCGGGCUUGUCUGCUAGCUUCUGGUGGUUGUCAACAAUCCCUGUAGAAGCAUCCCUCUUCACCUUGUUUUCCCUGUGUGUGUCCAAAUUUCCCUCUUUUAUAAGGACACCAGACAUUGGAUUAGAGGCCACACUGAUCCAUUAUGACCUCAUCUUAACAUUAUUACAUCUGCAAAGAGCUCCAAUUAAAGGUCACAUUCACAGGUACUGAAGGUUAGGACUUCAGCUUAUCUUUUGGGGGACCAAAUUUAACCCACAACAGUAUGUUACAGAAAUGAAUGUAGAAUGACAAGAUGCUUAGGCAAGGAAAGGAUAAUUUCAACAUUAGAAAUGAUAAGAAUAUUCACAAAAAAUAGCCAUAUUUUGAAAGAGCUUCAUUGCUCUUGUUGGCUUUUUUUUUUUUUCCAGACGGGGUCUUGCCCAUCUCGGCUCACUGCAAUCUAUACCUCCCGGGCUCAAGCUCAAGGGAUCCUCUCACUUUAGCCUUCUAAGUAGCGGGAACUACAGACACAUGCCACCAUACUCGGCUAGUUUUUGUAUUUUUUGUAGACGAGGUUUUGCCAUGUUGCCCAGGCUCCUGGGCUCUAGUGAUCUGUCCACCUUGGCCUCCCAGAGUACUGGAAUUACAGGCGUGAGCCACUGCACCGGGCUUCUUGUAGGAUUUUUGUUUGUGGUCUUUUACCUUUAAAGAUUGUUACCUCAGAAUGUAUUAUUAAAAAGGAAGUUAUAGAAUUCAGGAUCUUUAAGAUAUAUACCUGAUGCUACAAUACAUAAACAUUAAAAUGUGAGAGGCUGAAUAUAAUAAAAGUGUAUUUUUAAACCUUUUUGGCA
rnacentral:lncRNA from 13 species